rnacentral:rRNA from 1 species
GCGCGAAAACUUUGCAAUACACGAAAGUGUGACAGGGUCAUCCCGAGUGCCGACCGCUGAGGUUGGCUUUUACCCAGUCUAGAAAGCUGGGGGAAUAAGGAGAGGGCAAGUCUGGUGUCAGCCGCCGCGGUAAUACCAGCUCUCCGAGUGGUGUGGACGUUUAUUGGGCCUAAAGCAUCCGUAGCUGGCUGAACAAGUCCCCUGUUAAACCCACCGAUUUAAUCGUUGGUCUGCGGGGGAUACUGCUCGGCUAGGGGACGAGAGAGGCAGGCGGUAUUCUCGGGGUAGGGGUGAAAUCCUAUAAUCCCGGGAAGACCACCAGUGGCGAAGGCUGCCUGCUAGAGCGCGCCCGACGGUGAGGGAUGAAAGCUGGGGGAGCGAACCGGAUUAGAUACCCGGGUAGUCCCAGCUGUAAACGAUGCAGACUAGGUGUUUGGACGGCCACGUGCCGUUCUAGUGCCGCAGGGAAGCUGUUAAGUCUGCCGCCUGGGGAGUACGAUCGCAAGAUUGAAACUUAAAGGAAUUGGCGGGGGAGCAC